rnacentral:sRNA from 12 species
UACCAUAAACUCCGCAGCCAAGCUAUGGAGCAUGGUUAACAAAUCCAUCCAAGGUAAAGAUCUCCACGUCUAGGAGUUACCUUGGAUGGUCAUGCGGGAAACCGCAUGGGUGGCCGAAAGGCUGUC